rnacentral:lncRNA from 1 species
AUCAGCAUCAGAAGUGCUUUUCAUACAGUUCUUAUUCAUUUCAGAAUCUCAGAAAGAUUCCUAACAACUUUCUUUCUUUCGCAGGGCCUCUUCAUCUUCCUGAUAUAUGGAGUGUACAACACUGAGGUUCGAAACACAGUCAACAGAAUCAAAGAAAGAAGAAAAGCCUUAAAUUUCUCCAACUGUGCCAGUUCCAGGCCCUCCAGUUCAGUGGGCAGUUCUCGGCCGUGCACCUCUCCAGUACCAGGUGUGUUGGACGGGCAAACAGUCACCUACUCCAGCAGCUCAUCGACCUACAGCGACAACAUCACCCAGAGUUACGACAAAACAAAGCAUCUGUCCCUCUCCUGUGUCCACGACAACUUAAAUGAAGACCUGCGAUGUCCUGACACUGGUGUCCACCUCUCUGGACAGGUAAGGCCUCACGCCACUUCUGUGCCCAUCUAUCAAUAAUGAUCCAAGGUUAUUUGACAUCUGAAAAGAAAAUCAAUUUGCUUCCUGUACAGUGACAUGAAAAUCAUACCAAACCCUUUUUGCUCAAGCUCAGAAAUGUGUACGAGUGUCAAUAGGUCAAGGUUAUUUGACAUCUGAAAAGAAAAUCAAUUUGCUUCCUGUACAGUGACAUGAAAAUCAUACCAAACCCUUUUUGCUCAAGCUCAGAAAUGUGUACGAGUGUCAAUAGGUAAUAUAUUGUUCUUAUUUUUGGUUCUUAUCAAGCAAUUGUGAUUAAGUUACAAUGAAAUUCAAUUUAAAAUGGUAUAUCAGUAAGACUACCCUUUCAAAAAAAAAGUAGCUUGUAGCAGUGUUUUGGUUUUUUAGCACAUUUUUUUUAAAUGAACAAAUCUUUCUGCAGUUUCUCCUUUUUUUUUUUUUUAAAGUGCCAAUUUUAAUACCAAAAAAUAAUUUAAUUAAUUGGCUUAGUGGAUGAUUUAGUGACUCGCUCAUAAAUAAACAACAAACUAAUAAUUCUAAUAUUCCUCCCUUUUUUAAAAAUCUGCAAAUUUUAAUACCAAAAAAUAAUUUAACAAAUAAGUUUAGUGGUUGAUUCAGUGACUUGCACAUACAUACAUAAAUAAAUAACAAACAAACAGAUGUUUUAAAUGAACAAAUUGUUCUUAAGUUCCUCCCUUUAAAAAAAAAAAAUACAAAUAUUAAUACAAAAAAAACACAACAUAAUGAAUUGGUUUAGUGAAUGAUUCAGUGAGUUGCUCGUAACUAAAUUACAAACAAAUCUUGUGAAUGAAUCAUUGUAAAGUUCCUCUCUUUUUUAGAAAAAAAAAAAAGCCAAUUUUAAUAUCAAAUAUAUAUAAAUAAAAAUAAAUAAAUUAAUGAAAAUAAUGAUUUGGUUUAGUAAAUGAUUUAGUGACUUGCUCAUAACUAAAAAACAAAUAUUUUUAAGUGAAUGAAUCGUUCUAAAGUUUCUCCUUUUUUAAAAAAGUGGCAAUUUUAAUACCAAAAAUAAACAAGUAGAUAAAUAAAUCUUUUAAGUAAAUAAGUUGUUCUAAAGUUGCACUCUUUUUAAAAAAAAUUUCAAAUUAUUAUACCAAGAAUGAAUGAAUGGAUGAAUCAGUGAAUAAAGUUACUUGAACUGGUGAAUGAUUCAGUGACAGUACCAAUAUAUAUAAAUAAAACUAAAUAAAUCAAACAUAAGAAAAAAAAUAAUUGGUUGAGUAAAUUAUUCAGUGACUUGCUCAUAACUAAAUAAAACAAACAUUUUAAGUAAACAAAUUGUUCUAAAGUUCCUCGCCUUUUUAAAAAUAUGCCAAUUUUAACAGAGAAAAAAACAAACAAAUAUAAAUAAAUAAAAACAUGUAAUGAAUAUGUUUAUUAAAUGAUUUAAUAAUUUGCUCAUGACGUACACAUCAGACAUGAUGUGCUGUAAACUUGCAGAAAGAGUCAAUGAAUCGAGGAACAAAUCUGAAUAAAUCAAAAGAGUAACUAAGUUGAAUCGAAAUCCCCACUUCUUGUACACUUGUUACUAUAAAAAGUUUUUUUUUAAAUAAAAUAUUUUAUAUAAAAUAUAUCAUCAGAUUACAGUAUGUAAAUCAAACAGUAUUUUCUAGUUCAAAAGUAGCAUUUUAGUUAUUCUUCAACAUUGUUGGCAACCUGUUAUUGAUUUAAAGUGUCUUAAAAUCACUGGGAAGGUAAACAAAAAAAAUAAUUAUAAUAAAGUAAUUAAGAAUCAUCUUCACUUAAAAUCCUGGUACACUGAGAGGAAGCAGAGUGAUGAUCAAAGACAUCAGCCCUCUGGUGGCCAACAAAAAAAUGAUAUCCCUAUCUGUUGUGUCAGACUGGUAUUUUUGUUAUUACACUUUAUAU